rnacentral:rRNA from 1 species
UACGGAGGAUGCAAGCGUUAUCCGGAUUUAUUGGGUUUAAAGGGUGCGCAGGCGGAGUGGUAAGUCAGUGGUGAAAUCUUCCGGCUCAACCGGGAAACUGCCAUUGAUACUGCCAUUCUAGAGUACAGUUGGGGUGGGCGGAAUGUGUCAUGUAGCGGUGAAAUGCUUAGAUAUGACACAGAACACCGAUCGCGAAGGCAGCUCACCAAGUUGUAACUGACGCUCAUGCACGAAAGCGUGGGGAGCAAACAGG